CCAAUAGCGUAUAUUAAAGUUGUUGCAGUUAAAAAGCUCGUAGUUGAAUUUUAGAUUCUUCCAAUUGGUCCAUCUUUUAGAUGAGUACUGGUUGUGUGGGGUCUAUCCGCCUGGUGAUACGUAAUGUCCUUUAUUGGAUGUUGCGGGUAGUCAGGACCUUUACCUUGAAAAAAUUAGAGUGUUUAAAGCAGGCUUAUGCCGGAAUACAUUAGCAUGGAAUAAUAGAAUAGGACGAAGUUGUUUUAUUUUGUUGGUUUCUAGGACAACCGUAAUGAUUAAUAGGGAUAGUUGGGGGCAUUAGUAUUCAAUUGUCAGAGGUGAAAUUCUUGGAUUUAUUGAAGACUAACUACUGCGAAAGCAUUUGCCAAGGAUGUUUUCAUUAAUCAAGAACGAAAGUUAGGGGAUCGAAGACGAUCAGAUACCGUCGUAGUCUUAACCAUAAACUAUGCCGACUAGGGAUCGGGCGAUGUUGUUUCCAUGACUCGCUCGGCACCUUAUG
rnacentral:rRNA from 1 species